rnacentral:rRNA from 1 species
ACACCCCACGGGAGGCAGCAGUGAGGAAUAUUGGUCAAUGGGCGCGAGCCUGAACCAGCCAAGUCGCGUGAGGGAAGACGGUCGUAUGGAUUGUAAAGCUCUUUUGUCGGGGAGCAAAAGACGCCACGUGUGGCGUUCCGAGAGUACCCGAAGAAAAAGCAUCGGCUAACUCCGUGCCAGCAGCCGCGGUCAUACGGAGGAUGCGAGCGUUAUCCGGUUUUAUUGGGUUU